rnacentral:lncRNA from 1 species
UCCUGUAUUUUGAAAUCCUGUAGUUUUUCACUUUUUACUCUACUCUAUUUCUGUGUUUUUUUUUCCAUUCCUUUGUUUUACAUUCCUUCAAUCCAAACAGGCCCUAAAGGAAAAACGUUCGCCUGAGAGUGGUAAAUUCUUGCAUCCUGAUACAUGCAUACUUUUCCUAUUUUUAUGAGCACCUUAAAAAAAAGUGAUGAGUAUAGGCUGGGGCUCUUUGCCCUCGAAUUCUAAAAAAAAAAAAGUGAUGAGUAUCCAAUACAUGAAUGAACAACAGGAGCACGUAGAAUUUUCGUUGCAUCCAUCGGCGAUCGACAGUGCUUUCUAGAUGCAGAAUGGCUCCAUCCCACUCUGAUCCCCACGGGGUACACGUAGGC